GUAUGACACACUGCUGAACUGACUCCUCUGUCAUCAUGACUAUGGAUAUUCACCUUAAUUUAAACCUUUUGAUGUUACCUAUUGCAUGAUGCAUAUUAAAUAGAAAGAGGCGUGUGCAGCUUACAAGGCUGAUAUAGAAAUUGCUAUUGUAAACGUUUUCAAGGACACAGUGACAACAUCUGGCCUACUAUAUUCUAUUCACCACCCUAUCAGUGAGUUCCCUAUGUCCUCAUAGUCACGAUGGGCUAUGUCAUUGAGAUUCAACUAUUCUAUCCCUAUGGGCUAUGUCAUAGAGAUACAACUAUUCUAUACAUUGGGCCUAGUCAUGGAGAUAAAAAUCUUCUAUCACUAUGGGUUAUGUCACAGAGAUAAAACUAUUCUAUCCAUAUGGGCCUUGUCCAUGGGAUAAAACGAUUUCUUCACUAUGGGCCUAUGUCACAGAGAUAAAACUAUUAUAUUCCAUUGGGGCCUAUUCAUGGAGAUAAAACUAUUCAUUCACUAGGGUCUAUGUCACAGAGAUAAAAGUUCUAUCAUAUGGUCUAGUCACAGAGAUUAAACUAUUCUAUCACUAUGGGUCUAUGUCACAGAGAUAAAACUAUUCUAUCACUAUGGGUCUAUGUCACAGAGAUAAAACUAUUCUAUCUCGAUGGGUCUAUGUCAGAGCAUAAAACUUCUAUCUCGAUGGGUCCUCAUGUCAUAGAGAAAAAAGUUUCUAUCACUAUGGGUCUAUGUCACAGAGAUUAACUAUUCUAUCACUAUGGGUCUAUGUCACAGAGUAAAAACUAUUCUAUCUCGAUGGGUCUAUGUCAUAGAGAAAAAAAGUAUUCUAUCACUCAUGGUGUCUAUGUCACAGAGAUAAAACUAUUCUAUCUCUAUGGGUCUUGUCCCAGAGAUAACAUUCA
rnacentral:lncRNA from 1 species